rnacentral:rRNA from 1 species
CGGUGCUGGAAGGUUAAGAGGAGUGGUUAGCUUCUGCGAAGCUACGAAUCGAAGCCCCAGUAAACGGCGGCCGUAACUAUAACGGUCCUAAGGUAGCGAAAUUCCUUGUCGGGUAAGUUCCGACCCGCACGAAAGGCGUAACGAUUUGGGCACUGUCUCAACGAGAGACUCGGUGAAAUCAUAGUACCUGUGAAGAUGCAGGUUACCCGCGACAGGACGGAAAGACCCCGUGGAGCUUUACUGUAGCCUGAUAUUGAAAUUUGGCACAGCUUGUACAGGAUAGGUAGGAGCCUUUGAAACGUGAGCGCUAGCUUACGUGGAGGCGCUGGUGGGAUACUACCCUGGCUGUGUUGACUUUCUAACCCGCACCAUUUGAUCAUGGUGGGAGACAGUGUCAGGCGGGCAGUUUGACUGGGGCGGUCGCCUCCUAAAGAGUAACGGAGGCGCUCAAAGGUUCCCUCAGAAUGGUUGGAAAUCAUUCGCAGAGUGUAAAGGCACAAGGGAGCUUGACUGCGAGACCUACAAGUCGAGCAGGGUCGAAAGACGGACUUAGUGAUCCGGUGGUUCCGCAUGGAAGGGCCAUCGCUCAACGGAUAAAAGCUACCCCGGGGAUAACAGGCUUAUCUCCCCCAAGAGUUCACAUCGACGGGGAGGUUUGGCACCUCGAUGUCGGCUCAUCGCAUCCUGG